rnacentral:rRNA from 1 species
AGCAGCCGCGGUAAUUCCAGCUCCAAUAGCGUAUAUUAAAGUUGUUGCAGUUAAAAAGCUCGUAGUUGAAUUCCGAGAUCAAAUUGUUGGUCGUGCCUUGGUACGUACUGACAUUAUUGAUUUCUCCCUUCUGAAGAACCAUGAUGUCAUUAAUUUGGUGUCUUGGGGAAUCAGGACUGUUACUUUGAAAAAAUUAGAGUGUUUAAAGCAGGCUCGCGCUUGAAUACAUUAGCAUGGAAUAAUGAAAUAGGACGUUUAAUUCUAUUUUGUUGGUUUCUAGGAUUGACGUAAUGAUUAAUAGGGAUAGUUGGGGGCAUUAGUAUUCAAUUGUCAGAGGUGAAAUUCUUGGAUUUAUUGAAGACUAACUACUGCGAAAGCAUUUGCCAAGGAUGUUUUCAUUAAUCAAGAACGAAAGUUAGGGGAUCGAAGACGAUCAGAUACCGUCGUAGUCUUAACCAUAAACUAUGCCGACUAGGGAUCGGAUGAUGUUAAUUUUUUAAUGAAAGA